GAAUAAACAUUCGUUGUUACGUACAAUAUUUAUACAUUUUUAUGUGAUUUCUUGUUACAUGAUAUAAGAAUAAAAAUAUCAAAAAUUAUUUACAGAUAUAUUACAAUUAUUAUUUAAUUAUUAUUAGAAAAGAUAACGCAAUUCGUGCAAACUAACAAGAACAAUAUCACUCUUGAGACUUUAAACUUUUUUAAAAACUCUUCCCGCACGGUUUAAAUGAAAAAGAGAAUAACGAACGAACGUGAAAUCAAAGAAAUCCAAUCACGAAUUGACUCGAAUCGAUUCGAAUCUAGGGUCCAAUGUUUCCAACCAGUUGCACCAGAGGGAGGAAGACAUUUUUCCAAGUAUCGAGUUUCCUCUCUACGAAGAAAAGAGUGAACGAUGAGCUAGCGAAAGACGAUGAUGAAAUCGUUCUGUCCCUCGAGAAACUUGCAAAUUCAAUUACAAGCGUGGCCGUCGCUCUAAUGGCAGCUCGGACUUCGGUGGUGUCAGUUCGGACGAAGGAAAAAAACCGGAAGCGAAGAAAUCUCAUAGAAGAAUAAACAACCACCCCUCCCCUCUUCCCUUGGGAAAAAAACUUCCACAACCGCGAAACGAUGGAAGCAAAUAUUUUACCAUCGUGCGUAUCUUCUCGCGUUUGAAGAGAGGGGGGAAAGAGAUAGGGAGGUAGAGGGGGAGAGAAAUUUUUCUUCGUGUUGGGACAAUUGUUGAGUGAGGAAUGUUUUAUUCGAGAAAUUUUGUUCACCGAUUUCUUUGGUUAGGAUUGAACGAUAUUUCGCGUGUUUAUCGAGGUGUGUAUUUUUUCAGGAUGAAACGAACGAUGUAAGAUGAUUAUUUAUAACGAAGAAUUUGAAAUUAUUUUAUGAUGGAUGAUUACGUACGAACAAAUUUACCUUCUUUAAAUAUUUUUAUUAUUUUAUCGAAGAGGAGCAUCAUAAAAAUUGAAAAUUGGCUUAUCAUGGAUAAAUAUUUUAAUGGUAUGAUGUUAAUUCGUUUAAUUCGAGUUCUAGAAAUAUUAUUUCACGUGAGUGAACACAUAUAUCGUUGACAAAAGGUGACGAAGAUUAAUACGGAGCAUGAUUAACGAAACUUUGGACAUUGUUCCAGCAUAUUAUCCGUUCUUCGAGAAUAAAAUUUCUUUUCUCUUGAUAAGGACACGCGGUUCGUAAUACCCGUAAAUACGAACGAAUAUGCAAGCGAAUUAAAUCCAGCGAAAGAAAUAAAACCGUGGAAAUCCUGUUAAAGUGGAAAUUGGUCAGCUGUUGUAUUGCAACUUCAACGAUCGUAUGAGACGAUUUGUUUAUUUAUUGCUUUGUCGAUUUCGAAAAAUUCUCUAGAUUUGAAGAAAUGUUUAGGAGAGAAAUAAUUCCCUAGAACAAUCGAAACGUUUCUAGUUCAUUUUCCUUCAGCAUUUCUACACUUAUUUGGGUAUUGUAUAGCAAUUUCAACUUUAACGAUCGAUUUGUGCGAGACGAUUUGUUUAUUUAUUGUUUUGUCGAUUUCGAAAAUUCUCUAGAUUCGAAGAAAUAUUUAAAGAAAGAAAAAUGAUUCUCUAAAACGAUCGAAAUGUGCCUAAUUCACUUUUCUUCUGCGUUUCUAUAUGUAUUUGUGUAUUGUAUUGCAACUUCAACUUCAAUGAUCAUACGAGACGAUUUCUUUAUUUAUUUCUUUGUCGAUGAUGUAAAAAAAAAAACAUUCUCUAAAUUCAAAGAAAUGCUUAGGGGAGGAGAAAUAAUUCCCUAGAACAAUCAAAACGUUUCUAGUUCACUUUCCACACCUAUUUGUUAUUCAUGUAUUCUUUCAUUUCCAUGGGGAAAAACACAAUGACUUAGAGGCACUCGAGGGAGUCAAUUCCCUGAAAGAAUCCAUCUCCUGAAGAAAUUACAUUGUUUUCCACCCGCCAUUAACAUAGUUACGAGGGAAAUCCGUGUCGUUCGUUAUUAGGGGAAAUCCCCAAUCCUGUAUCUUUAGUCUUCUGAGAGAGAGAGAGAGAGAGAGAGACACAAAGAUUCUUUAUUUUCUUAAUAUAACAUUGGAAACGGUAAUGAACUUGUUUCGAACAUUACACGUAUUAAAACUUGGAUUAAAACGUUUUAAAAAUAUUAUUUACAGAGAGUAAAGAGUGUAAUAGAAUCAUUUGUAUUCGAUUAAUACAAAUGAAAUUAAAAAUGUGCUAAAUUUCGUUUUUUUUGCUCGAUAAAAAAAAUUUUUUUUUUAAAUUUAUCAGAAUUUUGUCGCAACAUUGGAUUUGGAAAAAUGGAUUAUUUAUUCGUUCGAUACAAGAAAAUUUUAAAUCGUGUCAAUCAUAAAAUGUUAUCCCAUAAUAAUAGUUACUGGGGUAUCGAAUAUUUUGAACUUGAUUUAUCAUAGUCUACAGAAAUUGUGGAAGAGAGAAUUGCAACAAAGAUGGAAUUCGAGCUUCUAAGGAAGGAUGGAAUUCGAAUAAUGGAGAAAAAGGGCAAAGACUCCAAGGGGGAAAAAAUUUUAAUGAUGUAAAAGGAAGAGGAAAAUAUUGGAAAAAAGAAUUGUAUGGAUUAAGCAGUAGUGAAGAAUUAAUGCAGUUAAUGAAAAAGAAACGUACAAAGGAUCGAUCAAAAGAUAUUGCAUCGUUAAAAGAGUACAAAAAUGAGGAACAAAAAAGUAGUUGCAAAAGAGAAAAAAAUAAACAUUGUUAUCCUCCGACAGAGAAAAAGAAUAAUUCAAUAAUUCAACAGUAGAUGAACGAGAAAAAUACUCGUAGCAAUAACAAAGUCGAAUAAAAUAUCAAAAAAAAAAAAAAUCAUGAAACGAGACAUUAAAAAAGAAUUGUGAUAAUAACAAAAAUGGAAAUGAAAAGUAGUAAGAUGUUAGGGAUAAGAGAGCGUUGCAAAUAUGAAAAAUUCAAUAUCGAAAGCAGGGAAGAGACGAAAUAAAAUGAGCAUUCACUCACCCGAAUGGAAGAAGAAGAAAAAGAAAAGGAGGAUAUAAGAAGAAGAGGAUAGAGACGAGAGUGAUUGCAAUAAAAAAACGGAAUAAAACAAUGCGAUGAAAAGGGCCUUCGCGAAUUUGUAUGUACUACGAAAAGAGGAGGAAGGAACCCGUUUAAAUUCUCAGGGUGAAGCUCGGCAAACGAGGAGCGGAAGAAACUGGGGCACUAUGAAUUUCAAGGCGAUGAAAAAUGAAUGAUCCCCUCCUGCGGAGGACAAGAGAAGGUUUUGCGGUUCUAUAGAGAACACGUAGAAUCAUCGUUUUACGAUGAAAAAUCUACUAGAUAUUUUCUUUCACGAUUAUCACUCGAUUUUCGUGGAAAUAAAAAAGAAAAAAAAAAGAAAAAACGAAAAAGGGAAUGUAAGGAACAAGAAUAAAAAUCACUUCUCCAAUGUGAUUUUUUUUUUACACGAUUUUAUAUUUUCUGAAAUUCAAAUAACGAUAAUAAUUAUAUCGAUAUAAUCUAAUGGUUAAUUACUAUAACGAUAUAUCAUAACUGAAUAAACUGAAAAUCUGAAUAUUGAA